rnacentral:rRNA from 1 species
UGAGUAACCUGCCCCUGACUCUGGGAUAAGCCUGGGAAACUGGGUCUAAUACCGGAUAUGCACCGUGGACCGCAUGGUUCUUGGUGGAAAGAUUUUUUGGUCAGGGAUGGACUCGCGGCCUAUCAGCUUGUUGGUGAGGUAAUGGCUCACCAAGGCAACGACGGGUAGCCGGCCUGAGAGGGUGACCGGCCACACUGGGACUGAGACACGGCCCAGACUCCUACGGGAGGCAG